rnacentral:rRNA from 1 species
UACGUAGGGCGCAAGCGUUAUCCGGAAUUAUUGGGCGUAAAGAGCUCGUAGGCGGUUUGUCGCGUCUGCCGUGAAAGUCCGGGGCUCAACUCCGGAUCUGCGGUGGGUACGGGCAGACUAGAGUGCAGUAGGGGAGACUGGAAUUCCUGGUGUAGCGGUGAAAUGCGCAGAUAUCAUUGGAACGCCAAUGGUGAAACAGGUAGCUGGAGUGUGCUGACACUGAGACACGAAGCCAGGGAGCGAACGG